rnacentral:lncRNA from 1 species
GUUUGGGUGAGGAGGAGAGCUGCAACCCGGCCCAUGGAAGCCAGGGAAUGGGGAGCUGAUUUAAGCUGGCCACCUGAAGUCACCCAGGUAGGUGUCUAGGCAGAUCAGGAUCCCUAGACACUUGUUCUUUUUUCCCUCUCUUCUCAGCUGGGGGAGCUUUGAGAGGUGAACUUCCAGAAGGGAAUGGAUUUUUGUGAGAUCAAUUUCAAACUGAUCCAUCAUGACUAUGUCGACGCACUCAGAGACCUCAAGGAAUACGGAAGCCAUAGUCUGCGACCAAUGGAACCGUGUCACCUGGUUAACAAGCCUGAGCCGACGCUGGCAAAGAAGCCAGAAUUCCCAAGCUUUCCCAGGCGAGUGUGGAGAAACACCAGGACGCCUUUUUCUCCCCGCACCCCCCGCCCCGUCCCAUCUGCAGCCAAGUGUGCCUCGGUCAAAGGCAAACUCUGAAUUAAGCUUUGUGCUGGUCUCUGGAAGGAUACCCGGGAUCGUGUGACGGAGAAAAGUGACAGCGGCGGUGGUGGCAGUGACAUCUGUGGGGCUAGCCCCGUCCCUAUCUGCCGCGGGAUGCGUGUGGGCAUGCUUUGUGAGAAGAAUCCACCCCGGGUAGAAUGGGGCUUUUGACAUCAGCUGAGGCCUGGGCUGCCUCACAAUGAGGCCUGUUGGUCAAAGGGAGACUGUUUAAUGAAGUGCCCGCCAGAGGCCAGCUCCGGCCAUCUGUACUGGGGACCUUCGGAGCGAGCCUUCCCUGUAACCCGCUACAUGUGCGAAAGCACGUUGCCUUUCACAGAAGGCAGCUGCGACGAUAAAUUCAUAUUCCCAAACGGUGACCUUUUGACUGCUUUUUGUGUGUGCGUGAUGAAAAGCUUCAUACCAGCUUGAUACUAAGGCUUCAUAAGCAAGGAAGCCGGAAAAAGGAGCCUUUUUUGGCCCUGAGGUCAAUAAUGAUAACGGCUUUCUCCUUACACGAGGUAGCAACGCCCUGCCAAGGAUGCGAAAACACCGCGUGAAAAUGAAAUUCGUGAAAGCCCUUAAUGAUCAAGUGAGGGGGGCAGGUGAUGGCAACCGCCACCCCACGGCUGGUGAAACGCCGAGGUUCGGGGAGAAGGAUGACUCAUGACCAAGGUCAAAGAGCAGCUGGGCGGUGGGGCUCGCGUCACAUCAUGUCCUCCAGCCUCUGGCACUGAGGAAAUCACGUAAAACUUUGCGAUGACUUUUCCUGGCAGGCUCGUUCUUCCCAGCCGGAGCGCAGGUGGCAAUGUUGCGAUUCCUGGCGUAACCUUCAAUGCUUCGCUGAUAAUCUCUGUCGUCGCCAGGCACCAGCAGACUGUCACAGCGCAACUCCCAGGCUUCAGCGAUGCCCGCCGAGGUCUUCAUUGCAGCCUCUCAUUUAUUAGCUGUGUUGGAAAGAACUCUCUAAUACCUAGCUGGGUACCUCUGGAUUUUAACAGCUGUGGUUUAUAAGAGAUUUAGGGGGGGGUUGUUUUCAAAGUGCCUUUCAGAAAGUAUCACCUUAGACGGGAGUUUCCGUUCUGUUGCGGUAGGAUGACUUGCUCUUGUGCUCAGAAAACCAAGCCUGCAAGAAAAAUCAGAUAUUUUCUUACAAGACUUCUUAGCAGGCGGGCCUCUAUAUGACUUUCCCUUCUCCUCCCCUUUAUUGGCCAUAACCUUAACGGAAGGCUUUUGAUGUCAAAUGCUGAGUAUCUUGGAAGAGGUCCUGCGUAGACAAGACUGCUUGGCCAGGGGCUGGAGAGUCACAGUUGGACUGGACUUGAAGGCCCCUUCUAAUCUGAGAUGUUGUGACUCCGGAGCUAAUUAGCCUCAACUUCUACAAUGAAAUGACACUAACUGCCAUUUAUUGAGCACUUUCUGUGUCAGCUCUGUGCUGAGAUCUUAACAUCAUUCUCUGAAUUCUGACAAAACCCCGCCAAUAUCAUCCACCUUUUAUGAACGAAGAAACAGGGGUUUAGAGAAGUUAAAAGCUUGUCUGGUGGCACAGAUGUAAGGUUUGGUGAGCGACUGUCCCCUGGAAAUCGAUUCCAGGUGAGUCUACAUCCAUACUCG